ensembl:lncRNA
CUGCCUCAGCCGAUCUUAGGCGUCUAAACGGAAGUGCUGGAGCACAUUUGCUGUGUACAGUACUGGAUAAACAUGUAUGAAUGAUUGAACGCUACGGGGUAAGUCGGUAAAGCAGUGCAGCUGCGCCGUGGAGCCGCCAGCUGUUCUGUGGCCGCUUUUACACACCUCACCACUAUUUCGCCACCAUUCUGCACAAUGGAGGGCAUAUUACACUUCUGUAAAUUCUGAUAGGCUUCUGUAGACCUUUUGCUUCUCACCCUGUCGGUGCCAAAAAAGAUGUCUCAUAGCCAAAUUUACCUGUAUAAUUUGUGCCACCCGGUAUCAUAAUCCCUUAACACUGUGAUGUUGUGAAGAUGUGUCGCUAUCACUGUGAAGGUGUGCUCGGCGAUGAUGACUGAUAGCAAGCUGAUAAUUGUAGCGAGGCAGGCAGUCAGUACAGAGACUCUUGUUCUACAUUUGGCUGAAUGGCAGCGAUGCUCUUAAGCCGAGUGCCCAAUGAGGACAUUUUCCAAAGAAGGUUCUGCUUUGGUUCCAACGGCUGGAAGGUAUGUGGGAAAGAGGUCUGCUAACCGGCUGAUUGAGAGCAAAUAUAUUCUGCUGCUACACUCUGUUACGUAUGUGAUCUGACUCUACAACAUUCAGAAAUGAACAAGCUUGUGGAAAGAAAAAAUUGAUGUCAAGAGUAGGACUUUAUGGUCGUAUUGAUUCUUCCCAUUAGCCGGUAAAAACACAUUUAUGUGCCCAUCGACAUUGAGGUGUAGGAAUUUCUCUUGGUAGCUUAUCUAAAAUGUUUAAUUCAUGAAAUCUGUAAAACUCAGUCUGAGGAACGAUUUUACAUUUGGGGUUUGUUUUGAUUUGCGCAGUUCUAUUUAUAUCACAUGAACGUCAAUAAAUGAGUAGACAUUCGGCUGCAGCUCUACUGAAGAGCUAAUCAAAUUACACAUUUUCAGAUGCAUUACUCCAUGGUGUAUGCACAAUGCGUACUUUUUGACUCGAAACAAGUUAAAAAUGCAGAUAAACUGUAUGCCAUAGGAACAAACAUGAAACUGCCGUGAAUUGUUUAAAAAAACGUGCCGCUUUAAAUAAAAGUUCUACUCAUCUGGUACAUUCAGUUCACUGGGCACAUACAAGUUUAGUCGAGUUUAGUUGACUGUCACAUGGUUGCUGCACCUUUCACGUAUUGCAAGUGAGAGGCAUUAAAAUCAACAGAUUAUGAAAUCAAGUGUAUGUGGAAGCUGACUAUUUUACAUGGGGUCACGCAGUUGCAGGUCCAUCGUGCUGAAUAAUCACAGCUGCAGCAAUUGUUCAUUUGUUAGACAGGGGACACUCCAUCAUCGUCACUUUGUCACGUUCAAUCGCGAUGUUUAUCUGGUCCACAGAUAGGUUGUUUGUCAAAUAGUGAAUCCUUUGAUAAAUGACUGUGACCGGCGCUGGACCUGAAGAAUUUCCUGUACAUCUCCUGUGGAAACCAGGUUUCCCUGGGGUUGGGUAAUGACGUGCAGUAUAAAAACGGGUGGUUUGGCAUUAAAUAUGAUUUUUAAAUCAGACUAGAAUCAUUUUGAGUUUACACAUGUCGUAAAGGCUAUUCCACUUCUAUAUGACACAGUUUGUACCCAGAAGUACGUGGAAACAACAGCUGCAUUGCCUCUUCUGUUGAAUACAUACUAUAUGCCAUAUAUUUGUGUAAUAAAUGGAAACCAGUUAACCAUU